AGGGGUUCUGAGAGGAAGGUCCCCCACAUUGGAACUGAGACACGGUCCAAACUCCUACGGGAGGCAGCAGUGAGGAAUAUUGGUCAAUGGGCGAGAGCCUGAACCAGCCAAGUAGCGUGCAGGAUGACGGCCCUAUGGGUUGUAAACUGCUUUUAUAGGGGAAUAAAGUGAGCUACGUGUAGUUUUUUGCAUGUACCCUAUGAAUAAGGACCGGCUAAUUCCGUGCCAGCAGCCGCGGUAAUACGGAAGGUCCGGGCGUUAUCCGGAUUUAUUGGGUUUAAAGGGAGCGUAGGCCGGAGAUUAAGCGUGUUGUGAAAUGUAGAUGCUCAACAUCUGCACUGCAGCGCGAACUGGUUUCCUUGAGUACGCAUAAAGUGGGCGGAAUUCGUGGUGUAGCGGUGAAAUGCUUAGAUAUCACGAAGAACUCCGAUUGCGAAGGCAGCUCACUGGGGCGCAACUGACGCUGAAGCUCGAAAGCGCGGGUAUCGAACAGGAUUAGAUACCCUGGUAGUCCGCGCGGUAAACGAUGGAUGCCCGCUGUUGGGCCAACUGGUUCAGCGGCCAAGCGAAAGCAUUAAGCAUCCCACCUGGGGAGUACGCCGGCAACGGUGAAACUCAAAGGAAUUGACGGGGGCCCGCACAAGCGGAGGAACAUGUGGUUUAAUUCGAUGAUACGCGAGGAACCUUACCCGGGCUUGAAUUGCAGAGGAAGGAUUUGGAGACAAUGACGCCCUUCGGGGCCUCUGUGAAGGUGCUGCAUGGUUGUCGUCAGCUCGUGCCGUGAGGUGUCGGCUUAAGUGCCAUAACGAGCGCAACCCCUCUCCAUAGUUGCCAUCAGGUCAAGCUGGGCACUCUGUGGACACUGCCACCGUAAGGUGCGAGGAAGGUGGGGAUGACGUCAAAUCAGCACGGCCCUUACGUCCGGGGCUACACACGUGUUACAAUGGCAGGUACAGAGAGCCGGUCGUAUGCAAAUACGAUCCAAUCCUUAAAGCCUGUCUCAGUUCGGACUGGGGUCUGCAACCCGACCCCACGAAGCUGGAUUCGCUAGUAAUCGCGCAUCAGCCAUGGCGCGGUGAAUACGUUCCCGGGCCUUGUACACACCGCCCGUCAAGCCAUGAAAGCCGGGGGCGCCUGAAGUCCGUGACCGCAAGGAGCGGCCUAGGGCGAAACUGGUAAUUGGGGCUAAGUCGUAACAAGGUAGCCGUACCGGAAGGUGCGGCUG
rnacentral:rRNA from 1 species